GUCACGAAGUGAACGGACUGAGAAGAGCAAGGGGAACAGGAAGCAGGUAAAAGAUUGGAACCUAAUUCUGCCUGGCCAUGAAGUACUGUGAGGACAGUCCAUGCCCUCAGCAAGAUGCUUUUAGAGUGUUUUCUCUUUUAGCAAGCUCUUCAGAACCAGGAACCACUCUUUAUACCUUUCUUACAAAAGCACUGCACCUGGGGAACCCAGAGGGAAGGAAGAUGUCUCCCUUAUAGGCCCACAACCCCUUCCUACCAUCUUUCCCUUUCAAUUCUCGGUAUGAGCUCUUCUGGUUCAUUAUCGGGAGUAUGGUAACAUUGUAACAUAUAUGAAACCUACUACAGAAAUUGUGAAACAGGUCACAUUUCCAUGGUUCUAUGCGAGUAUAAAAAUAAAGCUGGCCGAGGCGGGCGGAUCACGAGGUCAGGAGAUCGAGACCAUCCCGGCUAAAACGGUGAAACCCCAUCUCUACUAAAAAUACAAAAAAUUAGCCGGGCGUAGUGGCGGGCGCCUGUAGUCCCAGCUACUUGGGAGGCUGAGGCAGGAGAAUGGCGUGAACCCGGGAGGCGGAGCUUGCAGUGAGCCGAGAUCCCGCCACUGCACUCCAGCCUGGGCGACAGAGCGAGACUCCGUCUCAAAAAAAUAAAUAAAUAAAUAAAUAAAUAAAUAAAAUAAAGCUGUCAAGAGGGUGAGAGGAGGAGGCAGGAAGAGAAAAACUAAAAUAAGAUCAGUAGCGCCAUCUAGUGAGAAAUCCUAGCACUAUCAAAUCCAAGUAAUCCUCUACCCUGCCCAGAUACUUUAAUUAAACUAUUUCUAAACUUUAUAAAGCUGAACUGUCAGCAACAGAAUGUCGAAUUUGAGUCAUCUUCCAUUUUAUACACCAACAUUUUUUCUCAAUGCCAGUCUAUCUCCAGUGAAGACAAAGCUAAAGUGUUGAAUGAAUACAUCAAGAAAUAUCAUACAUUUUGUGAGGAGUUAAUGGGCCUGAAUCUAUUUUCUUUAUUCUGUACAACCUCCCAUCAUCAGCCAAAAUCUGCAAAUAGCUCGAUUUUUGAAGAGAAGAUGAGGAUAAGUAGGAGGUUGUAAUAUCCACUUAAAGUAACUGUUCAGCAUGAAUUUAACACAGCAAUUGAGUAGUUUUGAGUCCCCCAGGAAGAUUUCUUGUCAUGAUGAAAACAGUCUUUCACCUAGCUAUCAGAUCCUUCUUCCAUUAUGAUUGUUGGAAAACCAGCUUAUGUAAGGAUCUACCCUUUGUUCAAUGCCUACUAAAUACUAGUAUUUUAUUAGGUAAUGUAUACAUAUUUUAUUUGUCAGGCCUCUGAGCCCAAGCUAAGCCAUCAUAUCUCCUGUGACCUGCACGUAUACAUCCAGAUGGCCUGAAGUAACUGAGGAAUCACAAAAGAAGUGAAAAUGCCCUGUUCCUGCCUUAACUGAUGACAUUACCUUGUGAAAUUCCUUCUCCUGGCUCAUCCUGGCUCAAAAGCUCCCCCACUGAGCACCUUGUGACUCCCACCCCUGCCAGCCAGAGAACAACCCCCUUUGACUGUAAUUUUCCAUUACCCAAAUCCUAUAAAACAGCUCCACCCCAUCUCCCUUCAUUGACUCUCUUUUUGAACUCAGCCUGCCUGUACCCAGGUGAUAAAAAGCUUUAUUGCUCACACAAAGACUGUUUGGUGGUCUCUUCACAAGGACGCAAGUGAAAUUAUUAUUUAAGCCUUCCAACAUAUCUAAUAUCUGAACCUCAACUCUUCAUCUUACUAGCUAAAUGACAUCAGGGGAACAACUUAUUAACCUCUCUAAGUCUGUUUAUUCACCUGUGGGUAAUACCAUUAACAUCUCCUUAAUAGAUUUGUGGUAAUAAUUGAAUGAGGUCUUCAGUGUAGAGAGCUAAACACUAUGCCCAUUUAAAAAGUGAUUGCUGCUGCUCUAUCUUCCCAGCCCAGGGGGUUCUUGGACAUUCUCCCCGUGAUGAGUGCCCCUCUUCUGAAGUGGGGGUAGAAUGUAGUGGUUUCUUAAAGAGGAUCACUCAUGUUAGGAUCACUGAGCUUGGGUUUUAAUAUCUGUAUGUAUGGGACUGGGUUUUAGAAAAUGAAUUUUCUCAUGACCAAAAUAUUAGUCCUCCUUUUUUCCCUUAGAUGUAAGGGGAAAUUUUACAAGUAAGCUCAGUUAAUUUUGGGAGGGCCAUCUGUGAAAUCUCAGGCAUUUAUGGCAUAAACUCAAAUGUUCUCUUCUUUCGAUUUCCUGGAAUGGUGAACAUGGAGUGUCUUAACUUGUGUAUUGAGCAUGGUUUAGGAGUCUGUUGUCAAUUUUACAGUCUUUUGACCUCUAUAUAUUUGGCAUGCUGAGCUUCUUGCCAUUGAUCUAAAGUACCAGGCCCAUUCAUACACAUUGUAUACUUUCCACACCUUGCUGAGAAUUCUCUUCCCUUUCCUUUUCAUCUGAAAAAUUCCCACUCAGUUUUCAAGUACCAAUUCACAUGUCUCCAGCAGUGUGAAGCUUUACACUUCCUUUUGGCCGGAUAAGUUGCUCAUUCUGUCCUCCUUGCUCACAUGGCACUUUGUCAGCUUCUCUAAAUUGUACUAGCCAAACACUGUCAUAAUCCAUUUACACAUAAGUCUCUCCCAAAAGGUCAAUUUCUGAGGGCCAGGGACCAUUUCCAGCUGUAUUUCUCCUCCUUCCCUGGCUCAUUCCCUAUUUCUCCUCACUUCCGCUUCUCCAAGAUUGUAUCCCAAUAAAAUGUUAGCUCAUAAA